rnacentral:rRNA from 1 species
GACGAACGCUGGCGGCGUGCUUAACACAUGCAAGUCGAACGGAAAGGCCCUGCUUUUGUGGGGUGCUCGAGUGGCGAACGGGUGAGUAACACGUGAGUAACCUGCCCUUGACUUUGGGAUAACUUCAGGAAACUGGGGCUAAUACCGGAUAGGAGCUCCUGCUGCAUGGUGGGGGUUGGAAAGUUUCGGCGGUUGGGGAUGGACUCGCGGCUUAUCAGCUUGUUGGUGGGGUAGUGGCUUACCAAGGCUUUGACGGGUAGCCGGCCUGAGAGGGUGACCGGCCACAUUGGGAUUGAGAUGCGGCACAGACUCCUACGGGAGGCAGCAGUGGGGAAGAGUGCACAAUGGGCUGAAGCCUAAUGCAGUCACGCCGUGUGCGGUAUGACGGCCUUCGGGUUGUAAACCGCUUUCGCCUGUGACGAAGUGUGAGUGACGGUAAUGGGUAAAGAAGCACCGGCUAACUACGUG